rnacentral:rRNA from 1 species
AUGAGACCAACCAGCCAGCUCCUCCUGCUGCUCUUCUUGGCAUGCAUCUCGCUCCUUCCCAUCCAGGCCCCCGCUGCUGACAAGCUCCAGAAAGGCCAAAACCUCACCGACUCCAAUGGCGACACGCUCCUCUCGGCCGGUGGCUCCUUCACCCUGGGGUUCUUCUCUCCCGGCGUGUCCACUAAAAGGUACCUCGGCAUAUGGUUCUCGGUGUCCAAUGACACCGUGUACUGGGUGGCCAACCGCGACCAGCCUCUGGUCGACAAGUCCGGCAUGCUGGUGUUCAACGACGCGGCCACCCUUGUCCUGCUCGACGGUGCCCGCCGCACAGUCUGGUCUUCAGACUUCACUGGCGGCUCUUCUGCCUCGGUGGCUCAGCUUCUCGAUUCUGGCAACCUGGUCUUGCGCAACGGCAGCAGUGUCGCCUACCCGUGGCAGUCCUUCGACUACCCGUCAGACACCUUGUUGCCCGGCAUGAAGCUGGGCAAGAACUUCUGGACCGGAACAGAGUGGCAACUCACAUCGUGGCGAUCGGCCGACGACCCGUCUCCGGGGGAAUACCGCCGCACGCUAGAAACCAAGGGGUUACCGGAGCUCAUCCUGUGGCGUGGCAACGUCAAGACGCACCGCUCGGGGCCAUAUAACGGGCUUUACUUCAACGGCGUCCCAGAGGCAUCGACGUACAUGAACAUGUACCCGCUGCACGUGACGGGCCUGACGGCCAGGCCGACGGAGAUAACAUAUGGGUACACCGCCGAGCCUGGCGCACCGCUGACUCGCGUCGUUGUGAACCACACCGGCGUGGCGGAGCGACUGGUGUGGAACACCGACACAGGGGCGUGGAUCUCCUUUUUCAGCAGGGGGGCGAGGGACAUCACCUGCGAUGCCUAUGGCAAGUGCGGGGCGUUCGGCCUCUGCGACCCGGAGGCGGCAUUGUCGGGGUUCUGUGGCUGUGUGCCGGGGUUCAGGCCCAUAUCGACGUCGGCGUGGCAGAUGAAGCAAUAUGUGGGCGGGUGCCAGCGAGAUGCGGUUCUGGAAUGUCGUGCCGGGAAGACGACGGACCACUUCAAGGUGGUGCCUGGAGUGAAGCUUCCUGACACGCAGAAUGCGACGGUAGACAUUGAUGUCGCUUCGCUGGAGGAGUGCAAGGCAAGGUGCUAUGCCAACUGCUCGUGCUUGGCCUACGCCGCCGCUGAUAUCAGAGGCGGCGGCAAUCGUAGCGGCUGCGUCUUGUGGACGGAUGCCAUCGUUGAUCUUCGUCUCAUUGACAGCAAGCAGGAUCUCUAUCUGAGGUUAUCCAAAUCAGAAUUUGGUGGGCCAUCUGUAUCCCUGUUUCCUACUUGGAUUAUUAUAGGUGUAUCUGUAGCCUUGAUCAUCAUUCUGGUUCUCCUUGCUUUCUGGUUUUCCACCAGCAUAGGACAACUCAUAUUAUGGUUAUUAGAAGGACAUGCAGUUUGCCUUUGUAUUAUAAGAAAGGCCACAGCAAAUUUCUCUGGAGAAAAUGUCAUCGGCAAGGGCGGAUUUAGCGACGUCUACAUGGGGCGGCUAUUCGGUAGAGAGUUUGCUGUGAAGAAGCUGAGAAAGGAUCGUCUUACUGAUAAAGGCAAGGAAGAUUUCAAAAGGGAAGUGAAAAUGAUGUCAACGCUCGCGCAUGUCAAUCUUGCUAAGCUCCUCUACCAUUGUCGGGAAGGAAAUGAGUGGAUACUAGUCUAUGAGUACAUGGAGAACAAAAGUUUGGAUCGCUACAUUUUUGGGGAACAAAACAGGCCCCGCUCCUCAUUGAAUUGGGUGCAGAGACUGGAAAUAAUUUGUGGGGUCGCCGUUGGUGUUGAAUAUCUUCACGGCAUGAGAUUCGUUCACAGGGAUCUAAAACCUGGCAACAUACUUCUCAGCGACACGUGGAAGUCUAAGAUAGCAGACUUUACCACUGCGAAGCUGUUCAUCGAAGAGGAGACAGAUCCGACAGUAGUACUGACACCGGGGUAUGUGGCUCCAGAGUAUUCGUCCGAAAGGGCCCUGACGUACAAGUGUGAUGUAUAUAGCUUCGGAGUCGUCUUGCUGGAGAUAAUCAGAGGGAGAAGGAGAACAAGCAUGGCAACGUUCCUUCCUGAUUCCUGGGAAGCGUGGAGUCGUGAUCCCAGGGAACUACUCCUUGAUCCAGAAGUGGCUGAACCUGAAGGUGAGCUCUUGACAAGGCUAGCCAGAUGCGUUCAGAUUGGCCUUCUCUGCGUGCAGCAUUUGCCUGAGGAGAGGCCUGCAAUGUCUGAAGUUGUGGCAAUGCUAACCAGCACCAACUCACAGCUUGAUAUGCCAAUGGAACCCACAGCCAACGGGGGAGCAGGACCUAUUGCACAACUAAUUAUCGAUGACACCCCCUGA